rnacentral:rRNA from 1 species
UUAGUGGCGGACGGGUGAGUAACGCGUGGGUAACCUGCCUUACACAGGGGGAUAACACUUAGAAAUAGGUGCUAAAACCGCAUAAGCGCACAGCUUCGCAUGAAGCGGUGUGAAAAACUCCGGUGGUGUAAGAUGGACCCGCGUCUGAUUAGCUUGUUGGCGGGGUAACGCCCACCAAGGCGACGAUCAGUAGCCGGCCUGAGAGGGCGGGCGGCCACAUUGGGACUGAGACACGGCCCAGACUCCUACGGAAGGCAGCAG